rnacentral:rRNA from 1 species
UGGGGAAUUUUGGACAAUGGGCGAAAGCCUGAUCCAGCAAUGCCGCGUGUGUGAAGAAGGCCUUCGGGUUGUAAAGCACUUUUGUCCGGAAAGAAAUCCUUGGCUCUAAUACAGUCGGGGGAUGACGGUACCGGAAGAAUAAGCACCGGCUAACUACGUGCCAGCAGCCGCGGUAAUACGUAGGGUGCAAGCGUUAAUCGGAAUUACUGGGCGUAAAGCGUGCGCAGGCGGUUUGCUAAGACCGAUGUGAAAUCCCCGGGCUCAACCUGGGAACUGCAUUGGUGACUGGCAGGCUAGAGUAUGGCAGAGGGGGGUAGAAUUCCACGUGUAGCAGUGAAAUGCGUAGAGAUGUGGAGGAAUACCGAUGGCGAAGGCAGCCCCCUGGGCCAAUACUGACGCUCAUGCACGAAAGCGUGGGGAGCAAAACAGGAUUAGAUACCCUGGUAGUCCACGCCCUAAAACGAUGUCAACUAGUUGUUGGGGAUUCAUUUCCUUAGUAACGUAGCUAACGCGUGAAGUUGACCGCCUGGGGAGUACGGUCGCAAGAUUAAAACUUAAAUGGAAUUGACGGGGUCAUAGCUGUUUCCU